AAAACGAAAGCACUCAGUGCUGGAAGUAGGAGGAGAGUCAGGACUCCCAGGACAGAGAGUGCACAAACUCUGGAGGCUGAAGAGGGAUUCCAGCCCCUGCCACCCACAGACACGGGCUGACUGGGGUGUCUGCCCCCCUUGGGGGGGGGCAGCACAGGGCCUCAGGCCUGGGUGCCACCUGGCACCUAGAAGAUGCCUGUGCCCUGGUUCUUGCUGUCCUUGGCACUGGGCCGAAGCCCAGUGGUCCUUUCUCUGGAGAGGCUUGUGGGGUCUCAGGACGCUACCCACUGCUCUCCGGGCCUCUCCUGCCACCUCUGGGACAGUGACAUACUCUGCCUGCCUGGGGACAUCGUGCCUGCUCCGGGCCCCGUGCUGGCGCCUACGCACCUGCAGACAGAGCUGGUGCUGAGGUGCCAGAAGGAGACCGACUGUGACCUCUGUCUGCGUGUGGCUGUCCACUUGGCCGUGCAUGGGCACUGGGAAGAGCCUGAAGAUGAGGAAAAGUUUGGAGGAGCAGCUGACUCAGGGGUGGAGGAGCCUAGGAAUGGUGAGGAGAACCUGGCUGGCCCAACUGCCCCAUGCCAAGGCUCCUGGGCCUGACUGACCCCUGCCCUGUUGCCCACAGCCUCUCUCCAGGCCCAAGUCGUGCUCUCCUUCCAGGCCUACCCUACUGCCCGCUGCGUCCUGCUGGAGGUGCAAGUGCCUGCUGCCCUUGUGCAGUUUGGUCAGUCUGUGGGCUCUGUGGUAUAUGACUGCUUCGAGGCUGCCCUAGGGAGUGAGGUACGAAUCUGGUCCUAUACUCAGCCCAGGUACGAGAAGGAACUCAACCACACACAGCAGCUGCCUGCCCUGCCCUGGCUCAACGUGUCAGCAGAUGGUGACAACGUGCAUCUGGUUCUGAAUGUCUCUGAGGAGCAGCACUUCGGCCUCUCCCUGUAUUGGAAUCAGGUCCAGGGCCCCCCAAAACCCCGGUGGCACAAAAACCUGACUGGACCGCAGAUCAUUACCUUGAACCACACAGACCUGGUUCCCUGCCUCUGCAUUCAGGUGUGGCCUCUGGAACCUGACUCCGUUAGGACGAACAUCUGCCCCUUCAGGGAGGACCCCCGCGCACACCGGAACCUCUGGCAAGCCGCCCGGCUGCGACUGCUGACCCUGCAGAGCUGGCUGCUGGACGCACCGUGCUGGCUGCCCGCAGAAGCGGCACUGUGCUGGCGGGCUCCGGGUGGGGACCCCUGCCAGCCACUGGUCCCACCGCUUUCCUGGGAGAAUGUCACUGUGGACAAAGUUCUCGAGUUCCCAUUGCUGAAAGGCCACCCUAACCUCUGUGUUCAGGUGAACAGCUCGGAGAAGCUGCAGCUGCAGGAGUGCUUGUGGGCUGACUCCCUGGGGCCUCUCAAAGAUGAUGUGCUACUGUUGGAGACACGAGGCCCCCAGGACAACAGAUCCCUCUGUGCCUUGGAACCCAGUGGCUGUACUUCACUACCCAGCAAAGCCUCCACGAGGGCAGCUCGCCUUGGAGAGUACUUACUACAAGACCUGCAGUCAGGCCAGUGUCUGCAGCUAUGGGAUGAUGACUUGGGAGCACUAUGGGCCUGCCCCAUGGACAAAUACAUCCACAAGCGCUGGGCCCUCGUGUGGCUGGCCUGCCUACUCUUUGCCGCUGCGCUUUCCCUCAUCCUCCUUCUCAAAAAGGAUCACGCGAAAGGGUGGCUGAGGCUCUUGAAACAGGACGUCCGCUCGGGGGGUGAGUGGGAGCAAGCGCUGGGCGGAGGGCCGCCCCCGGGGGGCCAGGCCUGUGCCAGCUCACCUCUUCCCUCCCCAUCUGUUUUCUCCGGCAGCGGCCGCCAGGGGCCGCGCGGCUCUGCUCCUCUACUCAGCCGAUGACUCGGGCUUCGAGCGCCUGGUGGGCGCCCUGGCGUCGGCCCUGUGCCAGCUGCCGCUGCGCGUGGCCGUAGACCUGUGGAGCCGUCGUGAACUGAGCGCGCAGGGGCCCGUGGCUUGGUUUCACGCGCAGCGGCGCCAGACCCUGCAGGAGGGCGGCGUGGUGGUCUUGCUCUUCUCGCCCGGUGCGGUGGCGCUGUGCAGCGAGUGGCUACAGGACGGGGUGUCCGGGCCCGGGGCGCACGGCCCGCACGACGCCUUCCGCGCCUCGCUCAGCUGCGUGCUGCCCGACUUCUUGCAGGGCCGGGCGCCCGGCAGCUACGUGGGGGCCUGCUUCGACAGGCUGCUCCACCCGGACGCCGUACCCGCCCUUUUCCGCACCGUGCCCGUCUUCACACUGCCCUCCCAACUGCCAGACUUCCUGGGGGCCCUGCAGCAGCCUCGCGCCCCGCGUUCCGGGCGGCUCCUAGAGAGAGCGGAGCAAGUGUCCCGGGCCCUUCAGCCAGCCCUGGAUAGCUACUUCCAUCCCCCGGGGACUCCCGCGCCGGGACGCGGGGUGGGACCUGGGGCGGGGGACGGGACUUAAAUAAAGGCAGACGCUGUUUUUCUACCCAUGUGGCCCA
rnacentral:sRNA from 1 species